rnacentral:rRNA from 1 species
UGCAGAAUCCCGUGAACCAUCGAGUCUUUGAACGCAAGUUGCGCCCGAAGCCAUUAGGUUGAGGGCACGUCUGCCUGGGCGUCACGC